GUUAAAUCUCUGAAAGCUGAUGUAGCUCAUUGCAACUGCCCACAGCAUCAGCUUUAUUCUCUUGAAAGAAUGUGCUCCCAUUUAGUUUUCCAUUAAUGUUUUGAACCCUUAUCAGAACAGGUAAUCUUCUUCAGGUGUUGGUGGGAGCCAUACAAUUCACCAAAACUAAAGCUAGUGCCUAACCAAAUAUCCCAUUAUAAGCACCCCCCUUGGGAUCUAUGUCACAGACAGUAUAUUCCUUCAAAUGAUUUUCUAGGAUCAGCAAGGAAAGAGAGUUUGGGGUUUUGAUUAGUCAGAUGAGAAAAAGGUUAUGAAGAAUAUCUUACCUAAAUAGAGCCAUCUCAUUGCUUUGGGGCAAAUACAUUCAGGUCAAUUUGUUUGUUACAGCUGGUCUAUCAGAGUUAUUUAAUUUCAAUCGGUCAUACUGAUGCUGGCUUCAUCCUUAGCACUGAGGAACUUACCUUGGUAAUUUAUGACCAGCCUUUGUCCAGACUCCUCUCUUGCUACAAACUGGCUCUGUCCUGUGUCCCAUGUGAGAGGGAAACCACACAAGAGCUGUGAGGUACUGCUGCAUGUCUCAGUUCUGUGAAUCCACAGUGACUGUGACAUGAUAUGGCACCACAGUGACUGUGACAUGAUAUGGCACCUAGUCUGGAGGUGUACAGCUGCUACUUCACAAUGGCACUGGGAGGGCAGAGCAUCCCCCAGGAACUGGUCCAGGGAUGGCUGCUCUGUCCUACAGAAAGAGUCCAAAAAUCAGGAGUGUCUGGAGAGGAAAUCUGAGGAAGCUAGAGAAACAAGUAAUGCAAAAUGCUCAAAAGUCGCAGACGGGAUCAACGUUGGAAGAUCAGAUGACAACAGUUAUUCAUUCAUGUCUUGCAAGACAGAAAUAAAAUGACUUUAUGUUCAUUUCCUCCCCAGACCGCCACCCAUUUCUAAGGUUAACAGAAAGGAUUCCUGUAGUACACAAGUUAUUUUAAGAUCUUGAACAACUUACAGAUCUAACAUCUUUUUCCAUGUGUAUAAAUAACUCCACCUGCUGCAGUAUCACAUAUAUGUGAUCAUUAAAAUAGAUGCAAG
rnacentral:lncRNA from 1 species